AUGACGGCCUUCGGGUUGUAAACCUCUUUCAGCACGGAAGAAGCGAAAGUGACGGUACGUGCAGAAGAAGCGCAGCUAACUACGUGCCAGCAGCCGCGGUAAUACGUAGGGCGCAAGCGUGUCCGGAAUUAUUGGGCGUAAAGAGCUCGUAGGCGGUUUGUCGCGUCUGCUGUGAAAGCCCGGGGCUUAACCCCGGGUGUGCAGUGGGUACGGGCAGACUUGAGUGCAGUAGGGGAGACUGGAAUUCCUGGUGUAGCGGUGAAAUGCGCAGAUAUCAGGAGGAACACCGAUGGCGAAGGCAGGUCUCUGGGCUGUUACUGACGCUGAGGAGCGAAAGCAUGGGGAGCGAACAGGAUUAGAUACCCUGGUAGUCCAUGCCGUAAACGUUGGGCACUAGGUGUGGGGAACAUUCCACGUUUUCCGCGCCGUAGCUAACGCAUUAAGUGCCCCGCCUGGGGAGUACGGCCGCAAGGCUAAAACUCAAAGGAAUUGACGGGGGCCCGCACAAGCGGCGGAGCAUGCGGAUUAAUUCGAUGCAACGCGAAGAACCUUACCAAGGCUUGACAUACACCGGACCGGGCCAGAGAUGGUCUUUCCCCCUUGUGGGGCUGGUGUACAGGUGGUGCAUGGUUGUCGUCAGCUCGUGUCGUGAGAUGUUGGGUUAAGUCCCGCAACGAGCGCAACCCUCGUUCUAUGUUGCCAGCACGUGAUGGUGGGGACUCAUAGGAGACUGCCGGGGUCAACUCGGAGGAAGGUGGGGAUGACGUCAAAUCAUCAUGCCCCCUAUGUCUUGGGCUUCACGCAUGCUACAAUGGCCAGUACAAUGGGUUGCGAUGCCGCGAGGUGGAGCUAAUCCCAAAAAGCUGGUCUCAGUUUGGAUCGUGGUCUGCAACUCGACCACGUGAAGUCGGAGUCGCUAGUAAUCGCAGAUCAGCAACGCUGCGGUGAAUACGUUCCCGGGCCUUGUACACACCGCCCGUCAAGUCACGAAAGUUGGUAACACCCGAAGCCGGUGGCCUAACCCUUGUGGGGGAGCCGUAGAAGUGGAACGCGUU
rnacentral:rRNA from 1 species